UUAAAGUAGUAAGGGCGCAGGGUGGAUGCCUUGGCACUAAGAGCCGAUGAAAGACGUGAUAAGCUGCGAAAAGCUUCGGGGAGGAGCACAUAUCCAAUGAUCCGGAGAUAUCUGAAUGGGGAAACCCGGCAGAGGAAACCUCUGUCAGCGUGCAGUGAAUACAUAGCUGUACGUGGGGAACCCGGGGAACUGAAACAUCUAAGUACCCGGAGGAAGAGAAAGAAAAUUUAUCGAUUUCCAAAGUAGCGGCGAGCGAAAUGGAAAGAGCCCAAACCGUGAUGCGUGCAUCGCGGGGUUCGGACUGCGUUGUGGCAGACGUAAGAUAGGAGAACGGACUGGGAAGUCCGGCCGGAGAGAGUGAAAGCCUCGUAUCCGAAAUCCCAAGUCGCCUAGCAGGAUCCAGAGUAGGACGAGACACGAGAAACCUUGUCUGAACGAGCGGGGACCACCCCGUAAGGCUAAAUACUUCUUAGUGACCGAUAGCGCAUAGUACUGUGAAGGAAAGGUGAAAAGUACCCCGGGAGGGGAGUGAAAGAGAACCUGAAACCCUGUGUCUACAAGCUGUGGGACCUCUUUAUAUGAGGGACUGCGUACUUUUUGUAGAACGGUCCGGCGAGUUGUGCGUACUGGCGAGGUUAAGGACUUAAGGUCUGGAGCCGAAGUGAAAGCAAGCGUUAAUAGCGCGUCAAGUCAGUGAGUGCAGACCCGAAACCGGGUGACCUAUCCAUGUCCAGGUUGAAGCUUCCGUAAGAGGAAGUGGAGGACCGAACCCACAUCCGUUGAAAAGGGUGGGGAUGAGGUGUGGAUAGCGGAGAAAUUCCAAUCGAACCCGGAGAUAGCUGGUUCUCCUCGAAAUAGCUUUAGGGCUAGCCUCAUGAGAGUCUUAUGGAGGUAGAGCACUGAAUUGCCUAGGGGGCGUCAAAGCUUACCAAAGCAUAUCAAACUCCGAAUGCCAUCAAGAUGAUUCAUGGGAGUCAGACCAUACGAGAUAAGUUGGAUGGUCAAAAGGGAAAGAGCCCAGACCUACAGCUAAGGUCCCAAAGUACGUGUUAAGUGGAAAAGGAUGUGGGGAUUCUAAGACAACUAGGACGUUGGCUUAGAAGCAGCCAUUCAUUGAAAGAGUGCGUAAUAGCUCACUAGUCGAGAGUCCCUGCGCCGAAAAUGUCCGGGGCUGAAACACGACACCGAAGCUUAGGAAUGUGUAAACAUUGGUAGAGGAGCAUUGCUGGCGGGAUGAAGCCAUACCGUAAGGAGUGGUGGACUGCCAGGAAGAGAGAAUGCCGGAAUGAGUAGCGAGAUGAAGGUGAGAAUCCUUCAGGCCGAAUAUCUAAGGUUUCCAGAGUAAAGCUGAUCUGCUCUGGGUAAGUCGGGACCUAAGGCGAGGUCGAAAGACGUAGUCGAUGGAUAACAGGUUGAAAUUCCUGUACCGCAUAUAAACAGAACUGUGGGGACACAGACAGGGAAUGGAAUCCGGGAAUGGAAAUCCCGGUGCAAGCGAGGUAGGAGUGCUGUUGGCAAAUCCGCAGCACGAUCUGAAGACGUGACGCGUACCGAACAUAAGUAGGGAAGUCCAGGCCCCUGGCUGUCAAGAAAAGCCGCUAUUGUUUUAUAUGUGCCCGUACCGCAAACCGACACAGGUGGAUGAGGAGAGAAUCCUAAGGCCGACGGGAGAAGUAUUGUUAAGGAACUCGGCAAAAUGACUCCGUAACUUCGGGAGAAGGAGUGCCAUGAGAGUGGCCGCAGAGAAAUGGCCCAAGCAACUGUUUAGCAAAAACACAGGUCUAUGCAAAACCGCAAGGUGAAGUAUAUGGGCUGACGCCUGCCCGGUGCUGGAAGGUUAAGGGGAGAGGUUAGCGCAAGCGAAGCUUUGAACUUAAGCCCCAGUAAACGGCGGCCGUAACUAUAACGGUCCUAAGGUAGCGAAAUUCCUUGUCGGGUAAGUUCC
rnacentral:rRNA from 1 species